GUGAGGAAUAUUGGUCAAUGGGCGGGAGCCUGAACCAGCCAAGUCGCGUGAAGGAAGAAGGACCUAUGGUUCGUAAACUUCUUUUGCAGGGGAAUAAAGUGCAGGACGUGUCCUGUUUUGUAUGUACCCUGAGAAUAAGGAUCGGCUAACUCCGUGCCAGCAGCCGCGGUAAUACGGAGGAUCCGAGCGUUAUCCGGAUUUAUUGGGUUUAAAGGGUGCGUAGGUGGUUUGAUAAGUCAGCGGUGAAAGUUUGCAGCUUAACUGUAAAAAUGCCGUCGAAACUGUCGGACUUGAGUGUAAAUGAGGUAGGCGGAAUGCGUGGUGUAGCGGUGAAAUGCAUAGAUAUCACGCAGAACUCCGAUUGCGAAGGCAGCUUGCCAAGCCACAACUGACACUGAAGCACGAAAGCGUGGGGAUCAAACAGGAUUAGAAACCCUUGUAGUCC
rnacentral:rRNA from 1 species